rnacentral:rRNA from 1 species
AUUGAACGCUGGCGGCAGGCCUAACACAUGCAAGUCGAACGAGUGGCGGACGGGUGAGUAAUGUCUGGGAAACUGCCCGAUGGAGGGGGAUAACUACUGGAAACGGUAGCUAAUACCGCAUACCAUCGGAUGUGCCCAGAUGGGAUUAGCUAGUAGGUGGGGUAAAGGCUCACCUAGGCGACGAUCCCUAGCUGGUCUGAGAGGAUGACCAGCAAAACUGGGACUGAGACACGGUCCAGACUCCUACGGGAGGCAGCAGGAGGGAAUAUUGGGCAAGGGGCGCAAGGCUGAUGCAGCCAAGCCGCGUGAAUGAAGAAGGCCUUCGGGUUGUAAAGUACUUUCGGCGGGGAGGCGGUACCCGCAGAAAAAGCACCGGCUAACUCCGUGCCAGCAGCCGCGGUAAUUC